GCCUUCGUGGUGUAGUGGUCAGCACGCUCGACGCGUAACGAAGAGGUCCGUGGUUCGAUUCCCGGCGAAGGCG
rfam:Stegodyphus mimosarum contig28088, whole genome shotgun sequence.